UACGUAGGGGGCGAGCGUUGUCCGGAGUUACUGGGCGUAAAGCGCACGCAGGCGGUCUGCUAAGUUUGGAGUGACAGUUGGUGGCUUAACUGCCAAAGUGCUUCGAAAACUGACAGACUUGAGGGCUUCAGAGGGACACGGAAUUCCGGGUGGAGUGGUGAAAUGCGUAGAGAUCCGGAGGAACACCAAUAGCGAAGGCAGCUCGCUGGGACGUUACUGACACUAAGGCGCGAAAGCGUGGGGAGCGAACAGG
rnacentral:rRNA from 1 species